CGUGUGAAUCCGCCGAGGAUUAGGAUAAAUAAUCCAAAUUUCCUACAAUUAGAAACUCUACUCCAUCUCCUUCUACCCCUUGCAAUUUGCAAACCCUAACCCCAAAAUCAAUUUGUCCCUAUAGUUGUUGGCGAAUACCCAAUUCCGAUUUUUGUUCAAUCUCCGAUACCCACUUGUAAUCUUGACUAAAGAUUCAAUCUUUGGGGAUCAAUUUUUUCUCUGAGAAAAGAAGACGAAUAAAGGAAUUAGGGUUUAGGAGUUAGAGGAGGAGGAAGAUGGUGAUCACGAUUGAAGAUUUGAGGAAAAAUGAGACCUGGCUUUGUGGGUCUUUCUUGAAAAUGGUUGAUGAUGUGAAAGCCAUGGCCACCGAUCCAUCUGAGCAACAAGUGCUUCUGACCCAGAUGGUUUUGAAGGAGUUGAUGAUGAAUAGGAACAAACCAGAAGCAGCAUUCUCACUUGGUUUUCCCAAAAAGAAGAGAUCUGAAUCUAGAGGGAUGGUUUUGAAGGAGUUGAUGAUGAAUAGGAACAAACCAGAAGCAGCAUUCUCACUUGGUUUUCCCAAAAAGAAGAGAUCUGGAUCUAGGGGGAUGCAAAAGCAGAAUCAGAAUCAGAAGCAGAGGAUCAUCAUCAAAUUCAAACGCUGCGUCUCUGCCACUACAGAAACAGGAUUUGAAAUUGAAAUUGAAAUUGAAGAGCAAGAAGAGGUGCUACUCUGAAAUCGAACAAGCAGGCGAUGAAGGUUUCGAAGACAUAAACUCGAAGAGGCUGAGAAAGGGAAAGAAUGAUAAAAGGGUGUUACCAAGUGCGCAAUUGAUGACUGAGUAUUUUCCAAAGGAAGAGUUGCAGGAUCGUAUUCGUGGAUCACAUCACCCGAAGCCAAGUGCAAGAGCAAUAGCAAUAGCAGGGAAGAGGAAUGAGAUCAAGAUCAGUAUGACCAGCUUUGCUUUGUCCUUGUUAAUCUGCUUUCUGUGAGUGUUCUUUGAGUUUUUGAUUUACACUUGAAUCAACUUGUGUAGUCUUUGAUCAAUAUAUAUGUACAUAGUUAUCAAGUCUUAAAAUUUCUUGUUCAUUAACUCUCUACCCUACUCCAUUUUCUCAGUCUUGCAGUUUAUGUUCAACAGUAAUUCAAUGAACGACUUUCAUUUUUCCGGUAUGGUUUUUGUAAUUUUAAUACUUUCUCUAUUUCCCCAAAGCUCAGAUAUCGCAUAUCUUCAUUCUCUUUCUCUCAGAUCAUUCAGUAUGCUCUUUGAGUUUGGGGGAUGCAUCCAAUUUCUUCUUAUGUUUACCUGGUAUGUUAGCUUACAUGUGCUCUUUUAGUUUUAGACUGGGCUUAUUAAUGCUUUUAAUCAUUUAUCUUUGUUCAUUCUCUUCUUAAUGGUGACAACUCAUAUAUAAGAAUUAGCUUAUGAGUAAAGACGCUUCUGAUUUUUACCCAACUGGCAUGGUGGUCUGCUUGUGUACUAUAGGUUGAAUUACUUGCACUAGGCUAUGUUUAGGAUGAAGGAUGUCUAGUUUCAACAUUUUUGUUUCUUUUGUCCGGAGGACUGAAGGAAUGUUGGUUUAAUUCACCGCUGCAAUUUGAGAUAUGGCUCAUUAAUUUUGGUGCUGAUUAAUGGAAUGUGCUUUAGUUUGAGCUGCAUCUGUCCUUGGUCCCUUUGGCAGGAGAGCAAAAGAUCUACCAUAUGGCAGGAGAGCAAAAGGCCUAUAUAUAUACACUUGGAUGAUCGAUCUGUUUGAAAAAGUGAAACUAUCCUUUUUGUAACUUUCAACUCGAGUAAUAUCUGAAUAAAGUACUUGUACUUCUCCAACAGUCCAUCUUCUUGAGUUUUUUUUAUUGCAUAUCUUGUUUUAUCCCGGCCAUAUAUAAAUGAGUAAACUU